rnacentral:siRNA from 1 species
UCCUGUUGCUUAGUUUUUGCUA